rnacentral:rRNA from 1 species
GGAAUAUUGGACAAUGGGCGAAAGCCUGAUCCAGCAAUGCCGCGUGAGUGAUGAAGGCCUUAGGGUUGUAAAGCUCUUUUACCCGAGAUGAUAAUGACAGUAGCGGGAGAAUAAGCUCCGGCUAACUCCGUGCACGCAGCCGCGGUAAUACGGAGGGAGCUAUCGUUGUUCGGCAUUACUGGGCGUAAAGCGCACGUAGGCGGCUUAUUAAGUCAGGGGUGAAAUCCCGGGGCUCAACCCCGGAACUGCCUUUGAACCUGCUAAGCUAGAAUCCUGGAGAGGCGAGUGGAAUUCCGAGUGUAGAGGUGAAAUUCGUAGAUAUUCGGAAGAACACCAGUGGCGAAGGCGACUCGCUGGACAGGUAUUGACGCUGAGGUGCGAAAGCGUGGGGAGCAAAC